rnacentral:tRNA from 1 species
GGCGCCGUGGUCGACGAGAUCCGGAGGCUCACGGCCGCCGGAGCUGCCGAGAUCGUGCUCAGCGGCGUCG